AAGUCGUAACAAGGUUUCCGUAGGUGAACCUGCGGAAGGAUCACUAGUGAUUAAAUCGAGAGCGUCUUCAUUGACCUCUCACCCUUCACAUCCACAUACACCUGUGCACCGUUUGGCUCUUUUAAAAGACGUAAGUCUGCAAAGAGAGUCAUCAAUUUUAUACAUACCCCAGUCUUAUGAAUGUAACAGUUUUAAUAAACAAAAUAAAACUUUUAACAACGGAUCUCUUGGUUCUC
rnacentral:misc_RNA from 1 species